GCUGACGUAGCACAAUAGGUAGUGCACCUCCAUGGUAAGGAGGAGGUCGUUGGUUCGAGUCCAAUCGUCAGCA
rnacentral:tRNA from 1 species